AUUGAACGCUGGCGGCAGGCCUAACACAUGCAAGUCGAACGAGUGGCGGACGGGUGAGUAAUGUCUGGGAAACUGCCUGAUGGAGGGGGAUAACUACUGGAAACGGUAGCUAAUACCGCAUACCAUCGGAUGUGCCCAGAUGGGAUUAGCUAGUAGGUGGGGUAACGGCUCACCUAGGCGACGAUCCCUAGCUGGUCUGAGAGGAUGACCGUCCACACUGGAGCUGAGACACGGUCCAGAAGCCUACGGGAGGAAGCGGUGGGGAAUAUUGCACAAUGGGCGCAAGCCUGAGGCAGCAAUGGCGCGUGUAUGAAGAAGGCCUGCGGGUUGUAAAGUACUUUCAGCGGGGAGGCGUUACCCGCAGAAGAAGCCCCGGCUAACUCCGUGCCAGCAGCCGCGGUAAUUC
rnacentral:rRNA from 1 species